GAUGAAGAACGCAGCGAAAUGCGAUACUUGGUGUGAAUUGCAGAAUCCCGUGAACCAUCGAGUCUUUGAACGCAAGUUGCGCCCGAAGCCAUUAGGCCGAGGGCACGCCUGCCUGGGCGUCACACGUCGUUGCCCCCCCAUCUACUCCUUCGGGAUUGCGGGGGGCGGAUGAUUGCCUCCCGUGCGCCUCGUCGCGCGGUUGGCAUAAAUGCCAAGUCCUCGGCGACGCACGCCACGACAAUCGGUGGUUGCGAAACCUCGGUUGCCCGUCGUGUGCGGUCGUCGCGCAUCGAGGGCUCGAAAAAAUUGCCGGGCUCCGGCUCGGCUUUCAACGCGACCCCAGGUCAGGCGGGGUUACCCGCUGAAUUUAAGCAUAUCAAUAAGCGGAGGA
rnacentral:misc_RNA from 1 species